CAGUGAUCAGCAUCACAUACAGCAUCACUCAGGCAAGCAGCAACUACCAUCAUGUUCACUUGUGUACUUAUAUUGCUGACUUUAACAGAAGGUAACAGAGCUAAAGAGGUCAUCACUCCAUACAGUGAUGCAGCAUUUGCCUCUGAGACCGAGAGUGUCAAACUCUCUUGUAACUACAGCGGUUCUGUUGAUAGUCUUCACUGGUAUCGACAAUAUGCAGGUUCACCGCCACAGUUCCUCAUACUGGAUUAUUCAGGACACGUUAAUCAUGCUAAUCCUCCAGUUCCUGGAAUAUCCAUCAGUCACAGAAAAGAAGCCAACAGUGUGUAUCUGGAGAUCUCCUCUGCUGCAGUAUCAGACUCUGCUCUGUAUUACUGUGCUCUGAGGCCCACAGUCACAGGAAACACAAGAACACUGUACAAAAACCUGAAAAACUAUUAA